AGAGUUUGAUCCUGGCUCAGGAUGAACGCUUGCGGUGUGGAUAAGGCAUGCAAGUCGAACGAUCCCGAUUUAUCGGGAUAGUGGCGAACUGGUGAGGAACACGUGGGAAUCUGCCUUGAAGUCUGGGAUAACUCCGAGAAAUCGGAGCUAAUACCGGAUAGUUCCCGAAAGGGUAAAGAUUUAUUGCUUCAAGAUGAGCCCGCGUACUAUCAGCUUGUUGGUAGGGUAAAAGCCUACCAAGGCGAUGACGGUUAGGAGGCCCGAGAGGGUGUUCUCCCACAUUGGCACUGAGACACUGGCCAAACUCCUACGGGAGGCAGC
rnacentral:rRNA from 1 species